ensembl:rRNA 5S_rRNA 5S ribosomal RNA
CCCCACAGCCAUAUCACUGUGCAGCCCAAGGCCGGUUACUCAGUGAAGCUAAGCAGGGCUGAGCCUGGUCAGCACCUGGAUGGGAGAUCACAUAGGAAAACUAGGUUGCUGUGGUGU